rnacentral:lncRNA from 1 species
AUGGGGUAUAUGUGGGGCUAUAUGGGGUGAUGUGGUGUGCUAUGGGGGCAUAUGGGGUGGCUAUGGGGCACUAUGGGGCAGCUAUGGGUUGAUGUGGGGUGGCUGUGGGGCUCUAUGGGGCAUAUGGGGUCCCUAUGGGGUGCUAUGGGGCUGGCUAUGGGGCACUGUGGGUCUCUAUGGGGCUCUAUAGGGUCACUAUGGGGUCCCUAUGGGGCACUUAUGGGGCUGGGGGGUCCCUAUGGGUCGCUAUGGGUCUGGCUAUGGGUCACUAUAGGGCGCUAUGGGGUCUCUUUGGGGCAGUUAUGGGGUAUCUAUGGGGUCCCUAUGGGUCGCUGUGGGUCUCACGGCCCCGCCCCCCAGAGGUGUCCCUGGAGGCCCCGGAGGAGGAGCCCCGGCCCCGGCCCCGCCCCCUGGCCCCGCCCGAGGAGCGGCGGUGAGUGACAGGCGGGGGGCGUGGCCAGCGGGGGGGGGGGGGGGGGGCCGGAGGGGGGGGGGCCCGCGGGGGGGGGGGGGGGGCCCCCCCUGCCCCCCCCCCCCCCCCCCAGCCCCACGCGGGCCCCGCCCCCCCCGCCCCUCCCGGAGCUUCCGGAAGUCCCGGAGCCGGAGCUGCCGCCAUUGGCCGGCCCCGCCCUGCGCAGGCUGCUGCUGGAGGGGGCGUGGCGGCCGGAAGGGGCGGAGCUUCUGGGGCUCCUCCCCCCGGCCCCGCCCCGCGCGCUGGUGGCCCGCCUCUUCCGGGUGGCGCUGGAGCUCUGCGCCGCCGGUUGGCUGCGGCUGGCCCAGCCCCGCCCCUUCGCUCCCAUUGGGCUGCGCCCCGGGCCCCGCCCCCCCCCGCAGGAAUAAAAAAGGGGGCGUGGCCUCCGCGUGACUCCGCCCACUCUCGUCUUUUAUUGGCUGUUGGGUGAUGACGUCACCGAGGGGGCGGGGCCGAACAGGGCGUGGCGCAGGCGGGCGGCGUCGGGGGGCGGGAGCUGCGCCAAGGCCCCGCCCACCAGCUCCGGGCUCCGCCCCCAGGCCUGGCGCAGCAGCGAGGCCACGCCCACCUCCAGCCCUGGGGGCGGGGAC